rnacentral:rRNA from 1 species
AACGAACGCUGGCGGCAUGCCUAACACAUGCAAGUCGAACGAGACCUUCGGGUCUAGUGGCGCACGGGUGCGUAACGCGUGGGAACCUGCCCUUAGGUUCGGAAUAACUCCCCGAAAGGGGUGCUAAUACCGGAUAAUGUCUUCGGACCAAAGAUUUAUCGCCUUUGGAUGGGCCCGCGUUGGAUUAGCUAGUUGGUAGGGUAAAAGCCUACCAAGGCGACGAUCCAUAGCUGGUCUGAUAGGAUGAUCAGCCACACUGGGACUGAGACACGGCCCAGACUCCUACGGGAGGCAGCAGUGGGGAAUAUUGGACAAGGGGCGAAAGCCUGAUACAGCAAUGCCGCGUGAGUGAUGAAGGCCUUAGGGUUGUAAAGCUCUUUUACACGGGAUGAUAAUGACAGUACCGGGAGAAUAAGCACCGGCUAACUACGUG